GGCCAGACUCCUACGGGAGGCAGCAGUGAGGAAUAUUGGUCAAUGGGCGGGAGCCUGAACCAGCCAAGUCGCGUGAGGGAGGACGGCCCUACGGGUUGUAAACCUCUUUUGCCGGGGAGCAACGGGCGUCACGUGUGGCGCCACUGAGAGUACCCGGAGAAAAAGCAUCGGCUAACUCCGUGCCAGCAGCCGCGGUAAUACGGAGGAUGCGAGCGUUAUCCGGAUUUAUUGGGUUUAAAGGGUGCGUAGGCGGAUCGUUAAGUCGGGGGUCAAAUGGGGGGGCUCACCCCCUGCCCGCCAUUGAAACUGGCGCUCUUGAGUGGAAGAGAAGUAUGCGGAAUGCGUGGUGUAGCGGUGAAAUGCAUAGAUAUCACGCAGAACCCCGAUUGCGAAGGCAGCAUGCCGGCUUCCGACUGACGCUGAAGCACGAAAGCGUGGGGAUCGAACAGGAUUAGAUACCCCCGUAAUG
rnacentral:rRNA from 1 species